rnacentral:rRNA from 1 species
AACGAACGCUGGCGGCAGGCCUAACACAUGCAAGUCGAACGCACCGCAAGGUGAGUGGCGCACGGGUGAGUAACACGUGGGAAUGUACCCUUUGGUUCGGAAUAACGUCUGGAAACGGGCGCUAAUACCGGAUGAGCCCUGUGGGGGAAAGAUUUAUCGCCAAAGGAGCAGCCCGCGUCUGAUUAGCUAGUUGGUGGGGUAAAGGCCUACCAAGGCGACGAUCAGUAGCUGGUCUGAGAGGAUGAUCAGCCACACUGGGACUGAGACACGGCCCAGACUCCUACGGGAGGCAGCAGUGGGGAAUAUUGGACAAUGGGCGAAAGCCUGAUCCAGCCAUGCCGCGUGAGUGAUGAAGGCCUUCGGGUUGUAAAGCUCUUUCGCACGCGACGAUGAUGACGGUAGCGUGAGAAGAAGCCCCGGCUAACUUCGUGCCAGCCGCCGCUGUAAAAC